AACGCUUCUUUCCUCCCGAGUGCUUGCACUCAAUUGGAAAGAGGAGUGGCGGACGGGUGAGUAACACGUGGGUAACCUACCCAUCAGAGGGGGAUAACACUUGGAAACAGGUGCUAAUACCGCAUAACAGUUUAUGCCGCAUGGCAUAAGAGUGAAAGGCGCUUUCGGGUGUCGCUGAUGGAUGGACCCGCGGUGCAUUAGCUACUUGGUGAGGUAACGGCUCACCAAGGCCACGAUGCAUAGCCGGCCUGAGAGGGUGAUCGGCCACACUGGGACUGAGGCACGGCCCAGACUCCUACGGGAGGCAGCAGUAGGGAAUCUUCGGCAAUGGACGAAAGUCUGACCGAGCAACGCCGCGUGAGUGAAGAAGGUUUUCGGAUCGUAAAACUCUGUUGUUAGAGAAGAACAAGGACGUUAGUAACUGAACGUCCCCUGACGGUAUCUAACCAGAAAGCCACGGCUAACUACGUGCCAGCAGCCGCGGUAAUACGUAGGUGGCAAGCGUUGUCCGGAUUUAUUGGGCGUAAAGCGAGCGCAGGCGGUUUCUUAAGUCUGAUGUGAAAGCCCCCGGCUCAACCGGGGAGGGUCAUUGGAAACUGGGAGACUUGAGUGCAGAAGAGGAGAGUGGAAUUCCAUGUGUAGCGGUGAAAUGCGUAGAUAUAUGGAGGAACACCAGUGGCGAAGGCGGCUCUCUGGUCUGUAACUGACGCUGAGGCUCGAAAGCGUGGGGAGCAAACAGGAUUAGAUACCCUGGUAGUCCACGCCGUAAACGAUGAGUGCUAAGUGUUGGAGGGUUUCCG
rnacentral:rRNA from 1 species